AAAUUGAAGAGUUUGAUCAUGGCUCAGAUUGAACGCUGGCGGCAGGCCUAACACAUGCAAGUCGAACGGUAACAGGAAACAGCUUGCUGUUUCGCUGACGAGUGGCGGACGGGUGAGUAAUGUCUGGGAAACUGCCUGAUGGAGGGGGAUAACUACUGGAAACGGUAGCUAAUACCGCAUAACGUCGCAAGACCAAAGAGGGGGACCUUCGGGCCUCUUGCCAUCGGAUGUGCCCAGAUGGGAUUAGCUAGUAGGUGGGGUAACGGCUCACCUAGGCGACGAUCCCUAGCUGGUCUGAGAG
rnacentral:rRNA from 1 species